rnacentral:rRNA from 1 species
AGAGCGAACGCUGGCGGCAGGCUUAACACAUGCAAGUCGAGCGGGCGUAGCAAUACGUCAGCGGCAGACGGGUGAGUAACGCGUGGGAACGUACCUUUUGGUUCGGAACAACCCAGGGAAACUUGGGCUAAUACCGGAUAAGCCCUUACGGGGAAAGAUUUAUCGCCGAAAGAUCGGCCCGCGUCUGAUUAGCUAGUUGGUGAGGUAAUGGCUCACCAAGGCGACGAUCAGUAGCUGGUCUGAGAGGAUGAUCAGCCACAUUGGGACUGAGACACGGCCCAAACUCCUACGGGAGGCAGCAGUGGGGAAUAUUGGACAAUGGGCGCAAGCCUGAUCCAGCCAUGCCGCGUGAGUGAUGAAGGCCCUAGGGUUGUAAAGCUCUUUUGUGCGGGAAGAUAAUGACGGUACCACAAGAAUAAGCCCCGGCUAACUUCGUGCCAGCAGCCGC